rnacentral:rRNA from 1 species
CCUACGGGAGGCAGCAGUGGGGAAUUUUGGACAAUGGGCGCAAGCCUGAUCCAGCCAUGCCGCGUGUGGGAAGAAGGCCUUCGGGUUGUAAACCACUUUUGUCAGGGAAGAAACGGUCUGAACUAAUACUUUGGGCUAAUGACGGUACCUGAAGAAUAAGCACCGGCUAACUACGUGCCAGCAGCCGCGGUAAUACGUAGGGUGCAAGCGUUAAUCGGAAUUACUGGGCGUAAAGCGUGCGCAGGCGGCUUUGCAAGACAGAUGUGAAAUCCCUGGGCUCAACCUAGGAACUGCAUUUGUGACUGCAUGGCUAGAGUACGGUAGAGGGGGAUGGAAUUCCGCGUGUAGCAGUGAAAUGCGUAGAUAUGCGGAGGAACACCGAUGGCGAAGGCAAUCCCCUGGACCUGUACUGACGCUCAUGCACGAACGACGUGGGGAGGACGAACAGGAGUUAGUAUACCUACGGUAGUACCGACCGACCCGUAACCGACUAGUCACUAGGUUGGUUGGGUAGGGUUUCGUUCUUCUAGUAACGAAGACGUACGCGUGAGUUAGUACCGCCGUGGGAGGACGGCCGCGAGUAGUAACGUACGAAGAAGUAGACGGCGUGAGAGNGCCGACGGACGACGACGAGGGAGGAGGG